rnacentral:rRNA from 1 species
CAAAUUUGUAAUCUGGCUGUCUUCGAUAGUCCGAGUUGUAAUCUAUAGACGUGUUUUCCGUGCUGGACCGUAUCUAAGUCCCUUGGAACAGGGUAUCAAAGAGGGUGACAAUCCCGUGCUUGAUACGACCACCAGUGCUCUGUGAUACACGCUCUACGAGUCGAGUUGUUUGGGAAUGCAGCUCAAAAUGGGUGGUAAAUUCCAUCUAAAGCUAAAUAUUGGCGAGAGACCGAUAGCGAACAAGUACCGUGAGGGAAAGAUGAAAAGCACUUUGGAAAGAGAGUUAAACAGUACGUGAAAUUGUUGAAAGGGAAACGAUUGAAGUCAGUCGUGUUCUUUGGAUUCAGCUAGUUCUUCUAGUCUACUUCCAUUGAACGGGUCAACAUCAGUUUUGUCCGGUGGAUAAAGAUAGUAGGAAUGUAGCUCCCCCGGGAGUGUUAUAGACUAUUAUUGCAUACACUGGGUGAGACUGAGGACUGCAGCUCGCCUUUUGGCCGGUCUUCGGACACGUUCGAGCUUAGGAUGUUGACAUAAUGGCUUUAAACGACCCGU